CGCAGCCGCGGUAAUUCCAGCUCCAAUAGCGUAUAUUAAAGUUGUUGCAGUUAAAAGCUCGUAGUUGAAUUUCGGGAUCAAUUAAUUGGUCGUGCCUCUGGUACGUACUGAUUUUAUUGGUUUCUCCCUUCUGACGAACCAUGAUGUCAUUAAUUUGGUGUCGUGGAGAAUCAGGACUGUUACUUUGAAAAAUUAGAGUGUUUAAAGCAAGCUAACGCUUGAAUACAUUAGCAUGGAAUAAUGAAAUAGGACGUUUGAUCCUAUUUUGUUGGUUUCUAGGAUCGACGUAAUGAUUAAUAGGGAUAGUUGGGGGCAUUAGUAUUCAAUUGUCAGAGGUGAAAUUCUUGGAUUUAUUGAAGACUAACUACUGCGAAAGCAUUUGCCAAGGAUGUUUUCAUUAAUCAAGAACGAAAGUUAGGGAUCGAAGACGAUCAGAUACCGUCGUAGUCUUAACCAUAAACUAUAGCCGACUAGGGAUCGGAUGAUGUUAAUUUUUAAUGUACUCAUUCGGCGCCUUACG
rnacentral:misc_RNA from 1 species